CCCUUAGAUGUUCUGGGCCGCACGCGCGCCACACUGAUUCAUGCAACAAGUUUUGUCCUUGGCUGAUAGGCCUGGGUAAUCUUUGAACGUGAAUCGUGAUGGGGAUAGAUGAUUGCAAUUAUUCAUCUUCAACGAGGAAUUCCUAGUAAACGCAAGUCAUCAGCUUGCAUUGAUUACGUCCCUGCCCUUUGUACACACCGCCCGUCGCACCUACCGAUUGAAUGGUCCGGUGAAAUCUUCGGAUCUGAGAGAUGUCUGAUUAAUUUCGGACGCCUUUUGGAAAAGUUGCUUAAACCUUACCAUUUAGAGGAAGGUGAAGUCGUAACA
rnacentral:rRNA from 1 species